UGGGGAAUAUUGGGCAAUGGGCGAAAGCCUGACCCAGCAACGCCGCGUGAGGGAAGAAGGCCUUCGGGUUGUAAACCUCUGUCCUUGGCGACGAAACAAAUGACGGUAACCAAGGAGGAAGCCCCGGCUAACUACGUGCCAGCAGCCGCGGUAAUACGUAGGGGGCGAGCGUUGUCCGGAAUUACUGGGCGUAAAGGGUGCGUAGGCGGCCUAUUAAGUUGGAUGUGAAAUACCCGGGCUUAACUUGGGGGGUGCAUCUAAUACUGGUGGGCUAGAGUGCAGGAGAGGGAAGCGGAAUUCCUAGUGUAGCGGUGAAAUGCGUAGAUAUUAGGAGGAACACCAGUGGCGAAGGCGGCUUUCUGGACUGUAACUGACGCUGAGGCACGAAAGCGUGGGGAGCAAACA
rnacentral:rRNA from 1 species